UCCCAGUGCUCAACAUGUAAAAUCUAACCUUUUCUUUUCCCUUUCCCUAGCAAAAGUGAUCUGGAUUGUUUUCAACAACAGAAGAUGGAGAGUCACCGUCCCACCAUUUGAAGCCAUUUGCUCCAGGUUUGAAUUCACAUGGACUGCAGAAGGCCUAGCAUGUAGAGUUCUCGCUAUUUUUACUGGUGCUCAAACCAAUAGAUGCUGGCAUCCAUAACUAUGGUUUUCUAUUGUAUGGUAUUGUACACCUCUGAGCAACUUUCCAUUUACCAUCUGGGACCUCUGUAUCAGCAUCUCAACUGCCUGCACAACUAGUAAAGACUAGUAUUCACGUUACUUGGCAGUUCCCAUCUCUCUCUCUUGUUUAUACAGGGAGAUGAGCAGAAAGAGUAAUUUUUAGCAAACUUUUAAAGCGCUGCAAUACCUACUUUAAGGGUCAAAUUCUGACCACCAAUUUUAGGCUCCAGCUAUUAUCUGUAGGGAAUUUAUGAACAAAACUUGGAAUUAAAGAAAUUUGUAGUAUUGGUGUUAUCUUGCUCCUGGGGCCAAAGGACAGUCCCAUAGUAACACAGUAUGCUGGAAAUAUUACUUAGCUAAGAAUCUAAAGAAGCCCAUAAGAGCUGAAGGCACUAGUAUGUGGUCAUAUGCGUCCAAGACAUGCUCUGUUGCUCACAACAGCAAGCCAGAGAAACUCUGUUUCAAAGCACUGGUAUUUCCCUCCCAAUACAUUUACCAAAGCAUUUAAAAUCUAGGAUUGUCUUAAGGAUUUGGACCUCUUCACUACGACAUGAAUUAACUUCUUGAGCUAUUUGAUAAAAGAGGAAAAAUAUGAAGAAUGCUAAAAGGUGGAAAGAUGCACUAGCCGUAGCGAUUUCCUCUGGCAUAUAGGAGGUAAAGCAGAUUAUUUUGUAACACUGAAAAGCCAUGCAAACACCAGUCUGGAAGAGGCGUGGAGGGAUCUAACUUUCUAGAAAAUGAGAGUCUGCAGCAAGCAAGAAAUAGAUCAUCCUUUGUCCACAGCUGGGAAACAGGUGACCCUUGGAGCAAGUUUUUUUAAACAUUACUCACUGCUGUAACAUGAUGCUGACAUAUAUGAUGUGGAGUACUACAGAUAGCAAAGUCAUGAAAUAAGAAAGGUGAGAAACAAGACUUAUGUCACAAGGUUUGGAACAUAAAGACGCCUUUCCCCCCGCUCCUGAAGCCUUGUUGAGUGUUGAAUCCAGGAAACAACGAAUAAUUUAGAAGCCUGAAAAGGGAACAUCAAGGAGUCCCAGACGCCAAGGUGCUGGUAUUCCACAGAGAGGUAUUUCAGAAAGAGCAGGGUGGGGAAAACACACAAUGAAGACAGAGCCACCCCUUAGUAAUGACUCUUCUGGGCAUUUCUGCAGAAGAUGCAGGAGUAUUUCUUGUUCAAUAAUGGCUCAAAAAGGAAGCAGGAGAGAAGUGAGGAAACCACUGAAUUGCAAAACAUCAGCACUUCACUCCUUUCACCUUGUGACUUCUUGGUAGGAAUAAGAACAUGACACUUUCAUCAGAUGAAACAUCAAAGUUGCAAAACCAUAACCAAUGCUGAAGAGGAGACCCAACUGAAUGGGAGAAAGAAGAGCAAGUGUGAAGCAAGUUUCUAUUCACAUUCUUGAAGACUUCACUGAGGUAGAAGCUGCCUCUGAGCAGCAAGAGCAAUAGCAAUGGGUUCAUGCACAGGCUGCAGUCACAAGAAAUCACCACUUUCAUAGUCCAGGAUGACAAGAGGAGCAGGAGCAUGAAAUUACCUUCAGUGGUUUAUCAUUUGCUCAGUACUGUUGACCACAGAUGAGCAAACUGAACAUUGGUCUACACGAUGUAAAGAAGAAAAUGAAAGUUGUAUCAGAAUUACUCAGAUGUAAAUAACCCAGUGAUUCUCUUAAGAUUUAUGAUUAUUGUAAUAGAUUCAACAAAAAUUGGCUCUACUUCCAUUGGCAUAACCCUAAAUGCCCACCUGUGACCUUGUGACCUUCCAUCUCAGAGAUGGAAGAUGUCCAAAAUCCACACUUUCAAGAAGGUCCAUAUCUUGAUACUUUGUCCUCAAGACCUAAGAGUUGUACCAGGACACUGAAGAUGUAGUGGCCGUAUUGCACGGUCACAAGCCAACAGGACUCUCUGCUCCAGCCCAGACUUCAUAAAAGCAGCUCUUGUCUGACAGAAGGGAGAUGAUGAAAGCUGACUGCUCUCUUGGAUAUAGAUGUCUCUUACUGGAAGAAGGUUACAAGAUAUAUUUACCUAAGAUAGAAGUAAAUUUUACCUUCCUUAAAAAUUUUUAAAAAAAGAGAAAAAAGGAGACCAUUACAGAGAUCUGCUUGAAGUUGUAUAUCAGUUUCCAUAAAACUAAAUACCUUAAUGAGCAAACUUCCUUUUAAAACAAAAUCUAAAUGCAUUUUUGAAGAUUAAAACACUCACCAGAAGUUUAGAUACUGUUUCAAACAGUCCAGUAUUUGUCAAAUUUGUUCUUUGAAAAUAAUGAAGACAUUGCAAUGUAAAAUAGAUGGAAAGGUCUCUAAAAUUGUCAGCUUCAUAUCACUCCAUGAUAAUAGGCACAUUGAUGCCUUAAAAAUGUGUUAAAUUUAAUGUUAUAUUUAUUCCUGAACCUGUUGAGUUUUUCAAUAUAUGCUCUGAUCAUAGGCUUGACUAUGUUUUCCCACCCAUCUUCUUAGAACAUAAAUCACUUUUGUUUUCUUAAACACCUAACAUGGAUGUUAACAGAAAGCCUUCUAAAACAUUUGCACUUAGAACCGAGGCAAUCUGCAGGUUGUAACAACAGAAAAACAACACACGUUAAUAUGUAUCUAUUUAUAAACACAUGUAAAACGCAUGCUCCAGUUAGCAACAGGAACGAAAAAACCCGCCCACCUCAGGUGAAUCCUGUUACAAUCUGAAGGACUACGGUAGGUUUUCCCUUCUUUACAAUCCCACAUUCAUACACAAUCCAAACUCCUAUAGACCUCAGUAAGAAAUCUGCAUAUGCAAGCACGGAAGCAGGAGGGACCUUACGGUUUAACGACCAGCAGCGAAUAGAACCUUCAACUUCACAACAAGCAAACAAUGGACUAGUUGCACAAUAAAUGUGUGCCAAAGCCUUCCAUAUUGCAUCUAAAAAUCACUUAAAACCCUUUCAUCUGCAGCCACUGUAAAAUCAU